GAUGAACGCUGGCGGCGUGCCUAAUACAUGCAAGUCGAGCGAACGGACGAGAAGCUUGCUCCUCUGACGUUAGCGGCGGACGGGUGAGUAACACGUGGAUAACCUACCUAUAAGACUGGGAUAACUUCGGGAAACCGGAGCUAAUACCGGAUAAUAUUUUGAACCGCAUGGUUCAAAAGUGAAAGACGGUCUUGCUGUCACUUAUAGAUGGAUCCGCGCUGCAUUAGCUAGUUGGUAAGGUAACGGCUUACCAAGGCAACGAUGCAUAGCCGACCUGAGAGGGUGAUCGGCCACACUGGAACUGAGACACGGUCCAGACUCCUACGGGAGGCAGCAGUAGGGAAUCUUCCGCAAUGGGCGAAAGCCUGACGGAGCAACGCCGCGUGAGUGAUGAAGGUCUUCGGAUCGUAAAACUCUGUUAUUAGGGAAGAACAUAUGUGUAAGUAACUAUGCACGUCUUGACGGUACCUAAUUAGAAAGCCACGGCUAACUACGUG
rnacentral:rRNA from 1 species